rnacentral:rRNA from 1 species
CCUACGGGAGGCAGCAGUGGGGAAUCUUGCGCAAUGGGGGAAACCCUGACGCAGCAACGCCGCGUGGGUGAUGAAGGCCUUCGGGUCGUAAAGCCCUGUCAGGUGGAAAGAAUCGUGUCGGUACGAACAAUACCGAUGCUUGACGGUACCACCGGAGGAAGCACCGGCUAACUCCGUGCCAGCAGCCGCGGUAAUACGGAGGGUGCAAGCGUUGUUCGGAAUUAUUGGGCGUAAAGCGCGUGUAGGUGGUCAGGUAAGUCAGAUGUGAAAGCCUUCUGCUUAACAGAAGAAGUGCAUUUGAAACUGCUUGGCUAGAGUACGGGAGAGGAGAGUGGAAUUCCCGGUGUAGAGGUGAAAUUCGUAGAUAUCGGGAGGAACACCAGUGGCGAAGGCGGCUCUCUGGUCCGAUACUGACGCUGAGACGCGAAAGCGUGGGGAGCAAACAGGAUUAGAUACCCUGGUAGUCCACGCCGUAAACGAUGGGCACUAGGUGUAGGAGGUAUUGACCCCUUCUGUGCCGAAGCUAACGCAUUAAGUGCCCCGCCUGGGGAGUACGGCCGCAAGGCUAAAACUUAAAGGAAUUGACGG